UUGAACACCUCAAAAUCCGCUCUGGAUUUUGGAAAUGGGCUUUUUUGGAUGCUGGUAACGAACGAGUGUCGAAUCCAGCAGGCCUGAAAUAGAGAUAAAACGCAGGAACUGGGCGUGCAGGCCGGUCGCUGUUUGAGACGAAAUGGCUAUUAGUUGACAUGGUCAUCUUUGCCAAAUGUCUUUCGCGAACCGGGCAUGUUCAUCGUCCUCAAG
rnacentral:misc_RNA from 1 species